GCCGGGCACGGUGCUACACACUUGUAGUCCCAGCCACUUGGGAGACUGAGGUUGGAGGAUUGCUUGAGCCCAGGGGAUCAAGGCCAGCCUGGUCAACACAGUGAGCCCUCAUCUCCA
rnacentral:sRNA from 1 species